rnacentral:tRNA from 1 species
GCUUCGUUAGCUCAGUCGGUAGAGCGUCAGUCUCAUAUAAUCUGAAGGUCGAGAGUUCGAGCCUCCCACGGAGCA